UACUGUGGAGCUCAAACUACACUGGGCAGACUGUGUGCCAUUAGAAAGCACUUGCUCCUCAAUAACCAUGAACUGGAUCAAUUGCACCACCUUUUCCCAGAGUAACUUCGGGGCCAGCUAACAAGCUCUAUUAUAUUUAUUCAAGGAACCGUCUCUUAUUUCAGACAGUCCAAAUCACAUCUAAGGACCUUCAUUUAUUGCGUAAAAUAAAUGUAGAAGGAGGAAGAACACUGAGGAAGAUCCGGGGGUGGAGGAGGAACACUGAGGCUGACGUACAGACAUCAAAAUGUUUGUUUGUUUUUACAAUGGACUGAUAUUUGUCUUUUUUACACAAUAAAUGAAGGUUCUGAAGGAGAAA